UUUGUGAGUGGCAAACGAAGGUAGAAAACCUUGGAUUAUGCCUUUACCAACACCGUAAAGAUUUAAGAUUUGUUUCAGCCGUGUGUGUGUGUGUGUGUGUAAGUAAGUAGUUACUCUGAGCACAGAAGUUCGUGUCUGGCACAUGUACAAAGUCUGUGCUGGCCCUGGGGGGACUGCCAUUUUGCAAGAACCCAGUACUACAGUGUGUAGCUGUGACAGAGAAAACAUCAUUGUUCCGGCAAUAACUGGUUUAACAGGCUUAAGAGCCCCCUCAAUCUGUGUGUGUGUUGGCACUGACCGCAAGAGGGCGUAAUGGGAAAGGAGCCGUAUAUGCCUAUCCGUUUACUGUUUUAUUGGUCUAGCAUUUGUUUAGUUUCUUCCACACUGCAGUCUGCUGGUCAUUUGAACAGUUAAUCAAUAAUAUUGAAGGUCCCACUUUGCUGGAAGAUGUUUUCCUGCCAUUUAUCUUGCUGUGCCCUUGUUUCUCAUUCAUAAUUCAGCCAGUCCACAUUCUGACACGAGCUGUGGGCUGCUUUAGUGUUGUCGUCUUUCACAUAUUUGUUCGUGGUGGUUCAUUAUGUUCUUUAAAUAAGCUGCUAAGCUCGUUCGAGCCUUUUCUUGCCUUGUCAA